rnacentral:tRNA from 3 species
GGAGGGGUGGCCGAGCGGUCGAAGGCGCAUGACUCGAAAUCAUGUGUGCGGUAACGUACCGUGGGUUCGAAUCCCACCCCCUCCU